AGCCUCUGUGCUCCCUUAAAUGUGCUGUGUAUUCUUAUCCAGCAUAUUCUUCCUAUCUGCUUUCCACAGGUAUGAUCAAGCUGGUGUCCAAGCACAGAGCACAGGUGAUCUACACAAGGGGCACUGAGGAGGGUGAAGGCGCAGAAAAGGAGGAGGAGAAGGAAGCUAAGGAAAGGAAAGGAAGCGAAGGAGAAGAAAUUAGGUGAUCCUUUCAAUAGCACUGCAGAGAUGGUGGUUGGCACUCAGUAGGAACAAACGUGUAUUCAUAUUGGACAUUUAGUAGACUACCUCCUUAGUUACAGAACAUUUAGCCAGCUUUGUGUAUAUUGAAUGUGGCCUCUAUAACUUAACAUCACAUUUAUUUUUAUAUACAGUGGAGUCCUAAAUUAUUGACACCCUUUAUAAAGAGUUUAAAAAACGAAUCUAACUAGCUACAGUGCAUGCUAACUCAAAUGAGCUGCUAAUGUAGCCAACAUCUAGCCAACAUCACCAGCUACCGAGCCAACAUCACCAGCGACCUAACUUCAUAUUAGCUAGCUAUCUUGAUGUAUUUAUCAUUGUAAAAACAAACUCUAAAUGCAUUUGUAGGUAGCUAGCUGACAGCCAUUGAGGAGGGUGAAAGAAUAGCAGCCCCAACUGUCAAAGUGGGAGAGUAGGCUAUUCUGCAUAGGGCAGGUGCUUUUGUGUAGUUCCAGUCUCUAGAAGUGAGCAUGGAGAUAAUAGUAACAUAAUAUUCAGUGCUGUCUAAUUAGAGUAUAAUGAAGUCUGUUUCUUGUGAUCUUUUCUGUUCUGAGAUAGAGAGCUGUGAAAGCCUGUCUGCAGAUGAAGAGGUCCCAAUGAAGCGCAGUGGUUCUCAGUCCUGGUCCUCAGUCCUGGUCUUUUUGUUUUUGCCUUAGCACUACACAGCUGGGUCAAAUGAUCAACUCAUCAUCAAGCUUCAAGUGAUAUUUAAUUUGUGAUGCUAUCCUUGAUAUGAUCCUGCUGUUGUCACAUGCCACACAUGCACAUGUGUGCGCACACAUCUAUCCAAUGUGAUCAUGAUUUGUUAUUAUACUUCAGUAAUCCACAAUGACCUGGUGACGUAAAAGCCUAAUAAUGACUUCCAUUAUUCCUACAGAUACCUUGCAACUGAAGAUUCCUUCAAAUUGAUUGCCUACAGUUACUGUGUAGGGCACUGCAAGGUUGGGUGAUGAGGGCCAUCUGGGACUGCCUCCUAGGGGAAUUCAGGCAUGUGAAGGCUACCUGUGUCCUGCAUAACUUAAUGAGGAUAUACACAAGGACCAGGAUGGGAUCUGUAGAUUGCCGCCGUGUGCCAGAGGAGAGGUCUGCUGCUCUGCAGGAUGUUUCACGUGUGUGGGAGAUCUUCACCACCUACUUCUUUGAAGAGGCUGCUGCUCCCUGGUAACACCAUAGACUACUCAAUACACAACCAAAGGCUCUUUUAAGAGCCAUCCACAUUGCAAUUUACUUAGCUAUGUCAACCACAGUUAUUGAAUUCCCAGUUUCUCUCCUUUUGAUUUCUACUUCUCAGGUGAGGAUACUGUUUAGGUAAGGGGGUGAUGUCUGUACAAAAACAAAACUGCCUCUUUUAAGAUUUAAAAAAAAACAAUUAGACACCCUAUAACCCAGACCUACACACUUGUGUAUCAAUCUGAUUGAUGGAUUGUGUUGUUCAGGUGUAUUACUGUUGCUCCUUCCACCUUCAAAGAAUAGGCAAGAGGACCAACCAUAGAGAAUAGUUAUAUCAGCUGUGUCGGUGAACCCUUCCCGCAUCUGAACUGGCUACAUAGAGGGUACAGCAGGACCAGAGGUAUGUUUUGAUGUGAGAGAGGAUGCCAACCCCCAGUUCCAUCAUCGCCACCUCACUCGCUCUUAAGAUAACUUUCAGGCCAACUGAUUAGGAGACACCGCUAGAGACACUAUUAUGUAAUUGGGAUGAACUGAGAGAAUAUUAGAGUAGCACUGUGAUUCAUUAAUCAAAUGCUGUCUUCCUUGCUCCUCUGUUCUUACAUCUUUCCCUUUCUGUUACACUCUCACACCUCUCUCCCCACCUCCUCUUUCUUCCUCUGUUUUAGAAUGCACACUAGAUGUGCAUUGAAGUACAGAUUGAACGUGUAUUUAUAAUAUUAUAAUA